rnacentral:rRNA from 1 species
AAUCAACGCUGGCGGCGUGCCUCAGACAUGCAAGUCGAACGAUUAAAGCUCUCUUCGGAGAGUGUAUAGAGUGGCGCACGGGUGAGUAACACGUAAGUAAUCUACCCUCGAGUGGGGAAUAACGUCCGGAAACGGACGCUAAUACCGCAUAAUGCAGCGGCACCGCAAGGUGACAGUUGUUAAAGAUUUAUCGCUUGAGGAGGAGCUUGCGGCAGAUUAGCAGUUGGUAAGGUAAUGGCUUACCAAGGCUACGAUCUGUAACCGGUCUAAGAGGACGGUCGGUCACACUGACACUGAAUAACGGGUCAGACUCCUACGGGAGGCAGCAGUCGGGAAUUUUGGGCAAUGGGCGAAAGCCUGACCCAGCAACGCCGCGUGAAGGAUGAAGUAUUUCGGUAUGUAAACUUCGAAAGAAUGGGAAGAAUCAAUGACGGUACCAUUUAUAAGGUCCGGCUAACUACGUG